rnacentral:misc_RNA from 1 species
AACAAGGCGUACCUGCGGACCUGCGGAGGGAUCAUUAUUGAAUAAAUCUGACAUGGUUGUAGCUGGCUCUUAGGAGCAUGUGCACACCAGUCACCUUUAUCUUUCCACCUGUGAACCCUUUGUAGUCCCAGGAUAACCUCUCGCGCACUCUGGUGUUGCGGAUGCGAAGGUUGUUGUGCCUCUGGCCAGCUUCCAUCGAAUUUCCUGGGUCUAUGUUUCUUACACACCCCUGUAUGUUAA